CCUACGGGUGGCAGCAGUGGGGAAUAUUGCACAAUGGGCGCAAGCCUGAUGCAGCGACGCCGCGUGGGGGAUGAAGGCCUUCGGGUUGUAAACUCCUUUCGCUAGGGACGAAGCUUUUUGUGACGGUACCUAGAUAAGAAGCACCGGCUAACUACGUGCCAGCAGCCGCGGUAAUACGUAGGGUGCGAGCGUUGUCCGGGAUUACUGGGGGUAAAGGGGUGGGAGGUGGUUUGUCGGGGCGUCGGUGAAAUUCUGGGGGCUAACUCCGGGCGUGGAGGCGAUACCUGCAUAGCUGGAGUACUGUAGGGGUAACUGGAAUUCCUGGUGUAGCGGUGAAAUGCGCAGAUAUCAGGAGGAACACCGAUGGCGAAGGCAGGUUACUGGGCAGUUACUGACGCUGAGGAGCGAAAGCAUGGGUAGCGAACAGGAUUAGAUACCCGGGUAGUC
rnacentral:rRNA from 1 species